CGGCAUAGCAGAGCAGAUUGGCAGAGCAGAUCAUUGUAGUGUUGAUAGCGGCAGAGCAGAUUAUCCAAUCAGCCGUUUUUUAAUGUGUGAUCUGCUAAUUAUUAUUUGGCAGAUCACACAUUAUUCAAAUAUUAUUUGGCAGAUCACGCAUUAUUAAAAUGUAAUUUUUCAGAUCACAAAAUUAAUUCACACAUAAUGUGUCGAACAUUUUGAAUCUUUCAUUAUGAUUAAAAGUUAGAAUUUCUUAUGAAUCUUAAAUUAUGUAAUAAAUAGUUUAGAAGAGAUAAAAGAAAUUUGUUUUUAGUAUUAUAAUGUGGUUAAUGAAGCAGCUAAAAAGUCCUUCCAGCCAGUUGCAACAACAAUUAAAGCAGCAAAAACAAUUAAAGCAGGAAACAAUUAAAAAAACAAUUAAAGCAGGAAACAGCCAAGUACACAUGCAAGUGAUUGUUAUGAGGACUGCAAAAAUUUUUAAAUAUCACAAACUGAAGAAGGUAUUGAUAAUCAGCGGAUAAUAAAAAAAGCAAAAGUACUGAUUAUACAAAUCUUUUAAAGUUGAGGAAGAAUUUUAGGUUAAUGCUAAUGCAAAAGUUAAACGAUCACUACUUCUACAGGCACCUUGUCUCAAGCAUUCAAUUGAAUUCUAAGAUAUCUUUAUUCAAAUCAAGUGUGACUACUAUACCAAAAGACUGAAAAUGGAUCAAUCAACUAACCCAUCCGUACUUGCAAAGUCUCCUUUUUUGUUAGCUCGAAAAUUGAGUUCUAAAAUGCAUUAUUCACCUAACUACUAUAUCAAAGCACAAACUAAUGGAUUGAUCAAGAAGGGCACUGCAGUUGUCCUGCAGUUAUGCAACUUAUCAACCCAUAACUACGAUAGCUACAAGUUUUUUUAAUAAGGAAAAAGAUUGUAUGACUUCGGUAUCUGCAAUAUGGUACCGUGCAUUGGUUCUUAUCUUAGAAUGGCUCCCUUCCGUAUAGGUGGAAAUAGGAAAGGUUAUGUCCUUUUUUCUAAUUCUUAAGACAAAGAGGCUUAAUCAGUUCAAGCAAAGAUGACAAUGAUCAUUAUAGAGCCUAUCUUGAUGACGAAUACGAUAAUGCAUAUAAUAAUAAAUAAAAUGAUUUUACUUGUA